CACCUGGGGAGUACGCCGCAAGGUUGAAACUCAAAGGAAUUGACGGGGGCCCGCACAAGCAGUGGAGUAUGUGGUUAAUUCGAAGCAACGCGAAGAACCUUACCAGGUCUUGACAUCGUAUGCAUAGUCUAGAGAUAGAUGAAACCUCUUCGGAGGCAUAUAGACAGGUGGUGCAUGGUUGUCGUCAGCUCGUGUCGUGAGAUGUUGGGUUAAGUCCCGCAACGAGCGCAACCCUUACCUUUAGUUGCUACGCAAGAGCACUCUAAAGGGACUGCCGUUGACAAAACGGAGGAAGGUGGGGAUGACGUCAAAUCAUCAUGCCCCUUAUGACCUGGGCUACACACGUACUACAAUGGCAAUUAACAAAGAGAAGCAAGACGGUGACGUGGAGCGAAUCUCGAAAAAUUGUCCCAGUUCAGAUUGCAGGCUGCAACUCGCCUGCAUGAAGUCGGAAUUGCUAGUAAUCGCGGAUCAGCAUGCCGCGGUGAAUACGUUCCCGGGCCUUGUACACACCGCCCGUCACACCAUGGGAGUCGGUAACACCCGAAGUCUGUAGUCUAACAGCAAUGAGGACGCAGCCGAAGGUGGGAUUGAUGACUGGGGUG
rnacentral:rRNA from 1 species